UUGACUGCUUGCGCAGGGGACUCAGAAUAAUACGAUGCGGUUUGUCAAUUAUCAUCAUUUGUGGGUUUGGGGUCCUUCGGCAGGCACCCCCCCGAAGGGGGCUGCUGGCUCCGCCCUGGAGCCGCCUGCCGAGGCAACGGUUACUUGGUAGGUUCAGGUAGGGUUUAGCGUCUUGCAGCUCGGCAAUGAUCCCUCCGCUGGUUCACCAACGGAGA
rnacentral:misc_RNA from 1 species